CCUACGGGAGGCAGCAGUGGGGAAUAUUGCGCAAUGGGCGAAAGCCUGACGCAGCGACGCCGCGUGAGGGAUGAAGGUCUUCGGAUCGUAAACCUCUGUCAGCAGGGAAGAACGGUCACUGUGCUAAUCAGCAGUGAAUUGACGGUACCUGCAAAGGAAGCACCGGCUAACUCCGUGCCAGCAGCCGCGGUAAUACGGAGGGUGCGAGCGUUAAGCGGAAUUACUGGGCGUAAAGCGCUCGUAGGCGGUAUGUCAAGUCAAGGGUAAAAUCCCCGCGCUCAACGUGGGAACUGCCUUUGAAACUGGCAACCUGGCGUGUGUGGGAGGAUCGUGGACUUCCAGGUGUCGGCGUGAACUCCGUCGGUCUCUGGAGGAACAUCAGUGGCGAGGCGACUAUCUGGCCCAUAACUGACGCUGAGGCGCGAAAGCGUGGGUAGCACACAGGAUUAGAUACCCUAGUAGUC
rnacentral:rRNA from 1 species